GGGGAAUUUUGGACAAUGGGCGAAAGCCUGAUCCAGCCAUGCCGCGUGAGUGAAGAAGGCCUUCGGGUUGUAAAGCUCUUUUAGUCGGAAAGAAAGAGUUGCAAUGAAUAAUUGUGAUUUAUGACGGUACCGACAGAAAAAGCACCGGCUAACUACGUGCCAGCAGCCGCGGUAAUACGUAGGGUGCAAGCGUUAAUCGGAAUUACUGGGCGUAAAGCGUGCGCAGGCGGUUUUGUAAGACAGAGGUGAAAUCCCCGGGCUCAACCUGGGAACUGCCUUUGUGACUGCAAAGCUGGAGUGCGGCAGAGGGGGAUGGAAUUCCGCGUGUAGCAGUGAAAUGCGUAGAUAUGCGGAGGAACACCGAUGGCGAAGGCAAUCCCCUGGGCCUGCACUGACGCUCAUGCACGAAAGCGUGGGGGAGCAAACA
rnacentral:rRNA from 1 species